UAGACCGUAGCUAUGGACACCAUAAGAAAUGACUGCACUAAUGCCAGUGACAAGCAGUAUCCCGCUUGUUCACUAAGUUUACAUGCUAUGAUAGCUGUGGAUUUUAACUGAAAUAGUUAAGAUUAGUUCUAGGACUGUACAUGCAAAUGUAAACUCAAAUAGUUGGAGCAACCUUUUUUUUUUUUUUUGAGUAAUCAAUCGCCCAAAAUCAUGCAUCAGAAUGCCAUUAUGUAAAGCUGUUUGUUUUAAAAUUUAAAGAAAAGGUAAUGAUUUCGUGUCUUGAAUCAUAACUAACGUUAGGUGGUGCUAGUGCCUGCACAUUUGGUGAUACACAAUCCUGAAUGACGCAAUGAUAGAGUUCUAUGGAUAUUCAGUAGGUCCUGAACUAAACGUGAGCAUUAAUGAUAGAAAAUGUUGAUGAUAUAGAAAAUUUACUGACAUGCAGCUGCCCUGAGAUAAGAAUUUGAAUUUUUAUAUCACACAAAUUAACAUUUGCCACAUUUCUGGAAUUUAAUUUCGUAAAGGUAGCCUAUGCAUAACAACACAUCUUUGACAACUUCUAUGAGAUUUUAUUUCAGCCCGAAGCCAUUUAUAACGAAUAGUUGGAUGGCUGAGUGGGAUAACUAGCCACAGGUGAAACAGGUAGAGACGAAACACUGAAGAUUUUUUUUUUUUUUUUUUUUUUAGCCGACCCUUUUAUUGUCAUCAACUCGUGUACAAACUGAUAUCUGUCAAGCUAUAGUGUUUGUGGUUAGCCUACUAUAAACAGGAUUUUUAACAAAAAAUGUAAUUUUUGAAGUGAUAACUCAGUAUGGAAUGUGACUUGUAUCAGCAGUUAAAGUGCUGUGGAUGAUGCUAAGGCUUGGCUAGACAGGAUGAGGUGUGAGAGAUAAUAGUAAUGCUUUGAUAUAGCUAGGCAUGCUAAUAAUAAUAAGCUUAAACAAUAUCAUUAUUAAAAUUAUUUUAUUUAUAAUCUGUCUUUUUAAUAAUUUAUCUUCACUUCAAUGAAAUAUUUAAAUAGACAAUAGGCCUAUUAGUGUUUUUAUGUUUCAAAGAAAAGUCUUUAGUACAACUUUAUUACAAUAGAAAGAAGUCGCAUGGAACUCUCACAAGAUCAAAGUGUCUCUUCAUUCUCCACAAUUGGGCUCAGGUGAUUUGGACACUCAUACCACCCAGAGAUUCUGCUCACCGUAUAGUGAACAUUUACUGUGAAUGCUUUGCUCACUGGAUAAUCUCUAUACCAGCGGAAAUGGGCAUGUGUUGAGCUCCUCACAGGCCUCCAGGGAGGGAGCCCCGCCUAACUGAUAUAAAACGCUGCGUGCCGUUGCGUCUCACCAGAGCCCGGAGCGUUUAGCGUCGUUCAACAGUUUGCAAGUCGACAACAGGAGCUUAACAUGCACCUUGUCCUGAGUGUUGCAGAGAUGGGGAUGAGGACUCAUAGAACAGCACGUCUGUUCAGCUCCCUAUGAUGUGCUCCGUCACUUGCCCCUCAGGUGUUCUGCUCAUGUGGAGGAGGCCCUGAGGAGCGCCGGUGCAUCCAGUCUAAUCAUCAUGCAAAACACAGAUGCUCUGGUGAUGCAUCUGGAAAGCUUGGGUCUUUGUCUGGUAUCCUCUCAGAAAAUAAACUGAUGGAUUCCUGACU